CGCAGCUAUAUCACAUGCGCCACAGAACUACUUAUUUCUGUGGCGCACCGGCCCAAGUGUGCCACAAAAACCUUAAUUCUGUGGCGCACGGCCAGAUGCGCCACAGAAAGCU